CAGUAUCAGCUUACUACAGUCAUUUUAUUCUCUCUAAAUAAUUGAAAGAGUUGUUCUCACUUUGCCUGCUUCUUACAGUUCUGGGGCCGAACUUCUCAAUGUAUGAGUAACUAAUAAUAGCUUAGGUGCUGAAUCUUCUGUUCUGCAAUAUCCACAAUACAAGUAUUAAAGGUGAUUCCCAUUAAAAUCAUUUUUUCCUCUGAGAUUGAUGAGGAUGAUCUCUCCAAACUGAGGGCAAACUUUCAUGGUCAGACUACAAUGGUGUUUUACAUGGAAGACCGUCCAUGAGUUGCAUUUGCGCUUGACAUAUCAGCUACGCAGCCGUCAGCUGUCACCCAAUGUAUGCUAUAUCGGCGUCACAGCACAGCAUGAGAAAUGGCCCCUUUUUCUCAUGAUCACAGGAAUGAAUCUGGUAAGUUUUGACUUUUUAUGUAAUUUUAACAAAAAAAUAUCAAUAUAUUAUGGUAGAAUCAUGAUGGGUAAAAGUUUAUUUUGGUAUUUGUUUCUAUUAGGGGGUUACUUCUUGCUAUAUCUUUGCUGUCUUUUUGCUAUCUCCACAUAUACCGCUUAUUACUUGAUCCUAAAAUAUGUUGUCGUGUGUUGAUUUGAGUGGAGGGAAGUGAGAGAGGCAAAUCAUCAGAGAGUCAGUUACAGUAAUGCUACUAUUUAUUUCAUUUAUCUGGUACAGUCGUAGUAAAAUAGGAAGUGAUGCUGGUUCUUGUCCAAAGGGAU